UGCAUUCUUGGAAUAUAUAUUUGAUAAUAAUUCGCAAGCCUUAGAAAAGCUUGUAAGGUUGAUAAGUUAGUCAGAUGAGGCAUAUCUUUAAUUGCGUCAGCCCUCGACGGGUCCGGUCGUCGUCCAUUCCUGUCGAUAAUUUGUCCUAAAUACUUAAUUUCAGGAGUCGAUAAUAAUAGGAUCGAGAAAGAAACUUUAAUCCCUUGCCUACACCAAGAUCUGAUAGGACAGUCAGUGAAAAUCGAGAGUUAUGAGCGGAUUACAUUGUAUUGUUUGGUGGAGUAUGAGUUGCACUUUCCUUCUGAUAUAGGCAAAACACAAAGCCUGACAGACAUAAAAUGCAAAAGCACACUUUGGAUGCAAAGUUUGAGGAAGAGAUACACAAAAUAUUUAAAAUUGGAAAUAUUACAUAAAAUUGUUCACCUGGAACUUUUGCACUGAAAGCAGAGUUGGCACAGAAACAAUUAU